UCCUUUAGCUGGGUGGAGGUUUGGAUAA
rnacentral:piRNA from 1 species